rnacentral:rRNA from 1 species
CGGAUCGGAGUCUGCAACCCGACUCCGUGAAGCUGGAUUCGCUAGUAAUCGCGCAUCAGCCAUGGCGCGGUGAAUACGUUCCCGGGCCUUGUACACACCGCCCGUCAAGCCAUGGGAGCCGGGGGUGCUUGAAGUGCGUCGCCGUGAGGCGCGCCCUAGAGCAAAACCGGUGACUGGGGCUAAGUCGUAACAAGGUAAC